CAGCAGCCGCGGUAAUACGAGGGGGGCAAGCGUUGUUCGGAAUUACUGGGCGUAAAGAGUGUGUAGGCGGUUUGAUAAGUCAUCUGUGAAAUCUUCGGGCUCAACCCGAAGCCUGCACGAGAAACUACCGGGCUUGAGUAUUGGAGAGGUGAGUGGAAUUUCCGGUGUAGCGGUGAAAUGCGUAGAGAUGUGGAGGAAUACCGAUGGCGAAGGCAGCCCCCUGGGCCAAUACUGACGCUCAUGCGCGAAAGCGUGGGGAGCAAACAGGAUUAGAUACCCGGGUAGUCCCUGUCUCUUAUAC
rnacentral:rRNA from 1 species